GUGGUCACUUCAGCAGCACACAUACUAAAACUGGAAUGAUACAGAGAACAUUGGCAUGGCCCCUGUGCAAGGAUGACAUGCAAAGUCUUGAAGAGUUCCAUGUUUUA